rnacentral:rRNA from 1 species
ACAGCACUUGGAGGAUGUAAGUGAUUAGCACGUAAAGUUCUGGAUAAGUUAUGAUAAUGACAUUUCUUAUCUAUGUGUCUAGACCAAAUCACGUGCCAGCAGUCGCGGUAAUACGUGAAAGACUAGUGUUAUUCAUCUUUAAUUGGUUUAAAGGGUACCUAGACGGUAAAUAAAGCCCCGAAAGGGUACUGAUUUACUCGAGUUUAAAUAAGAGGGGGGGAGUACUUUUAAGUGUAAAGAUGAAAUUUUAUUAUACAAUUGGGAACAGAUAAAGGCGAAAGCAACCUUUUAUGUAAAAACUGACGUUGAGGGACGAAGGCUCGGGACACCAACAGGAUUAGAUACCCAAGUAAUCCGAGCAGAAAAUGAUGAAUGUCAUAGAUUAAAAUUUGAUCUAUAAAUGAAAGUGUAAGCAUUCCACCUCAAGAGUAAUGUGGCAACGCAGAAACUGAAAUCAUUAGACCGUUUCUGAAACCAGCAGUGAAGUAUGUUGUUUAAUUUGAUGAUCCGCAAAAGACCUCACCACAACUUGAAUAUUACUGUAAUAGUAAUACAAGCGUUGCACGGCUGUCUUCAGUUAAUGUCGUGAGACCUGGUUAAUUCCUGUUAAUUAACGUAAACCCUUACUUUAUUUAUAUUAUAAAGUGGAUCACCCUUAUAUUGGAUAUGAUAAUAGGGACUAAGACAAGUCAUCAUGGCCUAAAUGUUGUGGGCUAUAGAC